rnacentral:tRNA from 1 species
GCCUGGGUGGCUCAGUUGGUUGAGCGUCCGACUUCAGCUCAGGUCACAAUCUCACAGUUCGUGAGUUCGAGCCCCGCGUCAGGCU